AUUUUUAGAAAGAAAAAGAUAUUUUCUAAAAAUAGAUGAGUUGUUAAUGGUUCUCUUUCUCCUACAGACACCCACGCCAACAUGGAAGAGCUUUUUUUUCCAGUACCUUUCCCUUUGGUUUCAACUAACAACUUCCUGAAGUAAAGGAGCAAGAAAAUGGGACAGGAGCAAUAUUUGAAGAGAUAACAACUGAGAAUUUCCAAAGUCCAAUGAAACAUAUCAGCCCACACAUUCAAAAAGCUCUAAGAAACUCAACAAAGGUUAAAUACAAAGAAAACUACUCCAGUCACAAGUGUGCCGGUUUGGACAAAAAAUUCUAUGGUCAUCCUAACUGAAGAUCAGGAUGGCUGAUUAAAUAAUAAAAAGCAUAUAUGUUCUCAUCUGGUGUGGACUGCAAACGUGUUUGGAUGGCAAAGAUAAAUCUUGCCAAGUUUCACCCAUGUGCAACUAAGCUCAUCGACUGAUUGACUCUUGGCUGGCUAGAAUCUUGGGCAGCCCAACUCAGACUGUUUGCAACCAGACUUCUCAGCUUUGGUGUUGUAAAAACUGAAGGCAGCUAAUCCCAGAGAAGCAUUUACAAUUUGCCCAAUGAGCCAAAAGAACUUAAUUUGACUCUCUCUUGUUUGGUUACUUUCUCCUCUCGCCUUAUUAUCAAGUCCUGUACUGCUCAAUUCAGUGACCACUAGCCAUAUGUGGCUACUGAGCACUUGAAAUGUGGCUAGUUUGAACUGAGAUGUGCUCUAAGUACACUGGAUUUUGAAGACUUUGUACAAAAAAAAAGUAAACUAUCCCAUUAAUAAUUUUUGUAUUGAUUACAUAUUAAAAUGGUAAUAUUUCAAAUGUACUGAUUUAAAUAAAAUGUAUUAAAA
rnacentral:lncRNA from 1 species